UCCCGUUGAUCCUGCGGGACCUGACUGCUAUCGGAUUGGUACUAAGCCAUGCGAGUCGUUGUAGCAAUACAAGGCAGACUGCUCAGUAACACGUAGUUAACCUAACCUAUGGACGGGGAUAACCUCGGGAAACUGAGAAUAAUACCCGAUAGAUCACGGUGCCUGGAAUGGCCCGUGGUCCAAAUGAUUUAUCGCCGUAGGAUGGGACUGCGGCCUAUCAGCUAGUUGGUGAGGUAAUGGCCCACCAAGGCUAUAACAGGUACGGGCUCUGAGAGGAGGGGCCCGGAGAUGGGUACUGAGACACGGACCCAGGCCCUAUGGGGCGCAGCAGGCGAGAAACCUUUGCAAUGUGCGAAAGCACGUCAAGGUUAAUCCGAGUGUCUCCUGCUAAAGGAGUCUUUUGCCGGUCAUAGAACCACCGGUGAAUAAGGGGUGGGCAAGUUCUGGUGUCAGCCGCCGCGGUAAAACCAGCACCUCGAGUGGUCAGGAGGUUUAUUGGGCCUAAAGCAUCCGUAGCCGGCUGCUCAAGUUUUCGGUUAAAUCUAUGCGCUCAACGUAUAGGCCGCCGAAAAUACUGGGCAGCUAGGGAGUGGGAGAGGUACACGGUACUCAAUAGGAAGGGGUAAAAUCCUUUGAUCUAUUGAUGACCACCUGUGGCGAAGGCGGUGUACCAGAACACGUUCGACGGUGAGGGAUGAAAGCUGGGGGAGCAAACCGGAUUAGAUACCCGGGUAGUCCCAGCUGUAAACGAUGCAGACUCGGUGAUGCAUUGGCUUGUGGCCAAUGCAGUGCCGCAGGGAAGCCGUUAAGUCUGCCGCCUGGG
rnacentral:rRNA from 1 species